AACGAACGCUGGCGGCAUGCCUAACACAUGCAAGUCGAACGAGACCUUCGGGUCUAGUGGCGCACGGGUGCGUAACGCGUGGGAACCUGCCCUUAGGUUCCGAAUAACUCCCCGUAAGGGGAGCUAAUAACGGAUAAUGUAUUCGCACCAAAGAUUUAUCGCUUUGGGAUGGGGCCGCGUUGGAUUAGCCGGUUGGUAGGGUAAAAGCAUACCAAGGCGACGAUCCUUAGCUGGUCGGAGAGGAUGAUCAGCCACAAUGGGACUGAGACACGGCCCAGACUCGUACGGAAGGCAGCAGAGGGGAAUAUUGGACGAGGGGGGAAAGCCUGAUCCAGCAAUGCCGGGGGAGUGAUGAAGGCCUUAGGGUUGUAAAGCUCUUUUACCCGGGAUGAUAAUGACAGUACCGGGAGAAUAAGCUCCGGCUAACUCCGUG
rnacentral:rRNA from 1 species